UUGACAUUGGUCUAGCUAUGGGCUUUCAAGGAACAGGGUCGCCAAAUAAAGCUUGAUGUCAUAAUACUGGAUGAUAAUUUUGUUGUUGUAAAGGUUUGUGUAUCGACGCGUUGUCAUCUUUUACUCGAAGUUUUCAGGCUCCUUUUCUUAUUAAAGCUUCAACCAAUAGUGAUUGUUGAAUCGCAAGUUUAUGUGAGAAAGUGACAUAAAAGAAAAUGAAAUUGCAAGGAUAUAUUUGAAGACUCAUUCACUUUACUUUAUUUUGUGAUUUUAUAUAUAAAUUUUUUGGGUAUUAGAAUACCUGGAGCUUAGUAUGGAUCUAUGUUCAAAAAUCUGUUAACUGCUUUAUAUAGAGUACAGUAAUCGAAUAGCUCUUAUAGCUUUCUGACUCCUAACUCAUUGAUUGUUGUAAUAAGAGAUUGUGUGUGGAUAUAAAUCUUAGGCUACAGUCUGGUCUGUAAUUCAUUUGUUACUGCUAAGAAGUUUAGCCAAAUUCAAAUGGAUAAGGAUGUGAGGAAGAAUUGGCACGAAUAAACGAAUAGCUAUAUAUUAAUAUUUUCUAUAUGGCAGGAGAGGUAGGUAACACUAAAGAAUCAUUGAAUGAGCAAAAAAAAGAGCUGAGCAAAUGUUAGAAAAAUUGUCUAUUUACGUUUUCAAAGAAAUACGAAAGAGUAAAUUUUAUUGUUUUA